GAACUUCUGCAUGCUGCAGGCAUGGCCAAACAAAACAAAAUACAAAAGUCCAACCAUAUGCUCUUUAUGAGAGAAACAUCUAAAACAUACGGAUACCAGUAGAUUGAAAUAAUGGAAUUAAGUUACGCCGUGGUAGGUAUUAUUACAUAAAACUUAAGGCAGAAUGCAUUACUAAGAGUAAAGGUCAUUGUAUAAUAAAAAUUCCCAAUCACCAGAAGUAUCUACUAAUUCUAGAUUCUACUUACGACUUCAAAACACAUGAAGCAAAAAUUGGUCAUCUACAAGGAGAAAUAUAUAAAUGUACAAUCACGGCGAGAGAUUUUAACACAUUAAAAUCCCGAGGGCAAUCCUUACCUCGUGCAGGAUGAGAACCAAGCAGUAGAAAAAUAAUCACCAUGUCACCCUCAAGUGGUGAUUCUACAUGGCUCUUCAGACAGUCCCCAGAAAAGUAAAGCCCAUUUCCUCUCAGCAGAGAUCAGCUCAGUAGAACAUUGAAUUGGAUUGUCUUCCUUCCUUGUCUUGCUCUCCCCAGACCCCGUUCUUUUUCCCUUGGACUCAUCCCAGAGUAAAUUCUUGCAUGCAAAGUACUUCUCUCAACCCUGCUACUUUGUGGACCCAGGCUAAGACACUUGGUGAUACAAGCAGUUCUACAAACAAACCGUCCAAAUGGAUUCUAGUAUUGGACCAACUGGAUCCAGUAAGGAUCCCAGUCAUGUUGGUAAAUGGGGUGACAUUAACCCUUGGCACGCAGCAGCAUCACAGUUGCUGAGGUUUUCACCAGCAGUGAAUUGGAAUGGUGAAUUCGGAAGAUGAGGCAUUGCUUUAUGUAGUGGCAAUUCAUAAAAAAAUACGUGGUCAGUGUUAAUUAUAGGGAAUGUAGAGCUGGCUGACUCUGGUUGCUGGUCUUUAGAAGUCUUGUGAGAGGAGAGGAAAAUGGCAGCUUGAUUGGCCAACUGUCAACCUCAAGGAAUGCUGUGCAACUGGGAAAGUUUCCAGGACAACAGAGAAAUGUCCCUCUCCCCCCAACAGCCCUAGGAAGAUAGUUGCCAUUCAUCCUAGGCUUUAAUUGUGAGUACAGCUCGGUUACCAAGGAGAACACAGCCUUAAGGAGACUCUGAGGUCAGUGUCAGGGCCCAGCUAAGGAAAUAGCAGACCUUGAGACAUGGGGUAAGGGUAUUUGGAUGGACAAAUCUGAGACCCUUGAACCCCACAUUCCUCUGAUCCCAGGAACUGUCCCUCCUCUUUCCUGGAGAAGGAAUGGUCUUCCCUGGCUGCAGACACUGCGAAGACACCACUAGAGGCAGGAGCUUCACAAGGUGGGGUUCGUCCUAAGAUCUGCCUCUACCUCCUUUGUUUCCUCCAGACCAGCCGUCAAGUCAGGCGCAGCCCAAGCAAGAUGAUCCAGCUCCUCCUUUUGGGAGAUACCGUGUGUACUCAAAGGCUCGAAAGUGUUGGUUAACAGGCGCUAAAGGUGAACCAGAGACCUCAUGUUGGACUGGGUCUUAAGGAGCAGCCAAGGAAAGAUGCCUCCUUGUGUUUCAGUUUCUUCAACUGUCAAAUCUGAUUACGAGUGCCUGUCCAACCUACUUUAUAUACUUAUUAGAGUAAAUGAAGAAAUUAAUAUUAUAGUGAACUCUGCUAGGGACUAUACUAGGCACUUCACAUAAAUUAUUUAAUUAGGAUAAAAUUGGGCAAGUGUAAACACUUAAUCUAGUUCUAAACUUGUUUAGAACACAAACACAACAUUGUAAUCAACUACACGCCAAUACAUUUUUUAAAAGAAGACUUAAAUGUGUUAUUUUUAAUAGCAUGCCCUAGGAAAAAUGCAGAUUUGUGAAACCUUGUUGCCUAAAAGGAAAGAAGAAAAGGAAGCCGGUGUUUCAAAAACUCAGACAUAUUAGAAUAUGGCAUUGAGUAAGCUGUUGUCUUGUUUGGGGGAAGGUGGACCAUCUGAAGAGGGCUUUAGGGACAGUUCUAGUCAUUGACCUUGGGAGAAGCAGGGUAGGAACAGUGCUGCUGCGGAAGCUGAGAGAGCAGUUCUUUGUCCAGUGGAGCACAGUGAACUCCUGGGUGGCACCUGUGGUGUCUUGGGUAACGCAUGGCCUCCCACCCAGACUGCCUCGGUUGGAAUCCCAGCUCUGGCGCUCAGCCCACUGGGGGAUAUUGGACAGGUAGUUACAAAACUCCAUUUUAUGGAGUUCCCUGGUGGCACAGCAGGUGAAGAAUUUGACCUUGGUAGUGCUGCAGCUCAGGUCACUGGUGUGGCAUGGGUUCCACCUCUGGCCUGGGAACUUCCGUAUGCCGAGGACACGG
rnacentral:lncRNA from 1 species